rnacentral:rRNA from 1 species
CCUACGGGUGGCAGCAGUGAGGAAUAUUGGUCAAUGGUCGGGAGACUGAACCAGCCAAGCCGCGUGAGGGAUGAAGGUACAGAGUAUCGUAAACCUCUUUUGUCAGGGAACAAAGGCGGGGACGUGUCCCCGGAUGAGUGUACCUGAAGAAAAAGCAUCGGCUAACUCCGUGCCAGCAGCCGCGGUAAUACGGAGGAUGCGAGCGUUAUCCGGAUUUACUGGGUGUAAAGGGAGCGCAGGCGGCCUAGCAAGUCUGAUGUGAAAUGCCGGGGCUCAACCCCGGAGCUGCAUUGGAAACUGUGAGGCUGGAGUGUCGGAGAGGCAGGCGGAAUUCCUAGUGUAGCGGUGAAAUGCGUAGAUAUUAGGAGGAACACCAGUGGCGAAGGCGGCUUACUGGACUGUAACUGACGUUGAGGCUCGAAAGCGUGGGGAGCAAACAGGAUUAGAUACCCUUGUAGUC